UACGUAGGGCGCAAGCGUUGUCCGGAUUCAUUGGGCGUAAAGAGCUCGUAGGCGGCUUGGCAAGUCGGGUGUGAAAACUCCAGGCUCAACCUGGAGACGCCACCCGAUACUGCCAUGGCUAGAGUCCGGUAGGGGACCACGGAAUUCCUGGUGUAGCGGUGAAAUGCGCAGAUAUCAGGAGGAACACCGGUGGCGAAGGCGGUGGUCUGGGCCGGAACUGACGCUGAGGAGCGAAAGCGUGGGGAGCGAACAGG
rnacentral:rRNA from 1 species